CAUGCAAGUCGAACGGUAACAGGCCCGCAAGGGUGCUGACGAGUGGCGGACGGGUGAGUAAUACGUAGGAAUUUACCUAAUGGAGUGGGAUAACCUAGGGAAACUUAGGGUAAUACCGCAUAAGCUCUACGGAGUAAAGCAGGGGAUCGCAAGACCUUGCGCUAUUAGAUGAGCCUACGUCGGAUUAGCUAGUUGGUGGGGUAAAGGCCUACCAAGGCGAUGAUCCGUAGCUGGUUUGAGAGGACGACCAGCCGCACUGGGACUGAGACACGGCCCAGACUCCUACGGGAGGCAGCAGUGGGGAAUAUUGGACAAUGGGCGCAAGCCUGAUCCAGCAAUGCCGCGUGUGUGAAGAAGGCCUGCGGGUUGUAAAGCACUUUCGGUGGGGAGGAGAGGCUCUAGGCUAAUAUCCUAGAGCGGAGACGUUACCCACAGAAGAAGCACCGGCUAACUCUGUGCCAGCAGCCGCGGUAAUACAGAGGGUGCAAGCGUUAAUCGGAAUUACUGGGCGUAAAGGGUGCGUAGGUGGUUUGAUAAGUUAGGUGUGAAAGUCCUGGGCUUAACCUGGGGACUGCGCCUAAUACUGUCAGGCUAGAGUACUGUAGAGGGAGGUGGAAUUUCCAGUGUAGCAGUGAAAUGCGUAGAUAUUGGAAGGAACAUCAGUGGCGAAGGCGACUUCCUGGACAGAUACUGACA
rnacentral:rRNA from 1 species